rnacentral:rRNA from 1 species
GUGAGGAAUAUUGGUCAAUGGGCGAGAGCCUGAACCAGCCAAGUCGCGUGAAGGAAGAAGGAUCUAUGGUUCGUAAACUUCUUUUGCAGGGGAAUAAAGUGCAGGACGUGUCCUGUUUUGUAUGUACCCUGAGAAUAAGGAUCGGCUAACUCCGUGCCAGCAGCCGCGGUAAUACGGAGGAUCCGAGCGUUAUCCGGAUUUAUUGGGUUUAAAGGGUGCGUAGGUGGUUUGAUAAGUCAGCGGUGAAAGUUUGCAGCUUAACUGUAAAAAUGCCGUUGAAAUUGUCGAUCUUGAGUGCAAAUGAGGUAAGCGGAAUGUGUUGUGUAGCGGUGAAAUGCUUAGAUAUAACACAGAACACCGAUUGCGAAGGCAGCUUACUGGGAUGCAACUGACGCUCACGCACGAAAGCGUGGGGAUCAAACAGGAUUAGAUACCCUGGUAGUCC